rnacentral:ncRNA from 1 species
UUAAAGUUUUAUUCUAGCUUAAAAAUUUGUUUUUAGAUUAUUUUACAUGCUAAUUUUUGUGACAUAAAAAUUAAACUUAAAGUUUUUGUUAUUAGCAGUGAUUGGUAUUAUUAAUUAAGUGAUCUUAGAAAUAGUAAUUUUAAUCAAAGUUGACUAAUUUUGUGCCAGCAGUCGCGGUUAUACAAAAAAUUUAAAUAAAUUUUAUUAGUUUAUAGUUAAAUGUUGUUAAAUAUUUUAUAAUUUAUAUUAAUUUUUUUAGGUGAAAUUUUAAAUUUAAUUAAGUUAUAUUAUUAACAUAAAUUGAAGCUUGAAAAUUUUAAAUUUAAACUAGGAUUAGAUACCCUAUUAUUUAAAAUGUAAAAUUAAAAACUAAGGUAGUAAUAGAUAUGAUCUUGAAACUUAAAGAAGUUUGGCGGUAUUUUAGUCUAUUCAGAGGAACCUGUUAAUUAAUCGAUAAUCCACGAUGGAUCUUACUUGAGUUUGUGAUCAGCUUGUAUACCGCCGUUAUUGAAGAUUCUAUUAGGAUAAUAAUUUUCUAUAAUUUAAUUAAAAAUAUAUGUCAGGUCAAGGUGCAGUUUAUAUUCAAGGAUUUAAUAAUGGGUUACAAUAAUAUUAAUUAUAUGGAUGAAGGAUUUAAAUUUUCUUUUGAAGGUGGAUUUGAUAGUAAAAUUAUAUAGAUUGAUAAUUUGAUUAUAGCUCUAAAAUAUGUACACAUCGCCCGUCGCUCUUAUUAUUAAAGUAAGAUAAGUCGUAACAUAGUAGAUGUACUGGAAAGUGUAUCUAGAAUAA